rnacentral:rRNA from 1 species
UACGUAGGUGGCAAGCGUUGUCCGGAUUUACUGGGCGUAAAGAGCGCGCAGGCGGUUGGAUAAGUCGAAUGUGAAAGCCCCCGGCUUAACUGGGGAGGGUCAUUCGAUACUGUUCAACUUGAAGGCAGGAGAGGGCAGCAGAAUUCCCGGUGUAGUGGUGAAAUGCGUAGAUAUCAGGAGGAACACCAAUAGCGAAGGCAGCUCGCUGGGACGGUACUGACACUAAGGCGCGAAAGCGUGGGGAGCGAACAGG